AUAUAUAUCACCUGGAGAUCUUGCUAAAAAUGCAGAUUCUGACACAGUGUAUCUGCAGUGGGUCUGAGAUUCUGUUUUUAACAAGCUCUCAGGUGCUGCUUAU
rnacentral:pre_miRNA from 1 species